rnacentral:rRNA from 1 species
GGGUUGUGAGGUUAAGCGACUAAGCGUACACGGUGGAUGCCCUGGCAGUCAGAGGCGAUGAAGGACGUGCUAAUCUGCGAAAAGCGUCGGUAAGGUGAUAUGAACCGUUAUAGCCGGCGAUGUCCGAAUGGGGAAACCCAGUGCAAUUCGUUGCACUAUCGUUAACUGAAUACAUAGGUUAACGAGGCGAACCGGGGGAACUGAAACAUCUAAGUACCCCGAGGAAAAGAAAUCAACCGAGAUUCCCCCAGUAGCGGCGAGCGAACGGGGAGCAGCCCAGAGUCUGAAUCAGCUUGUGUGUUAGUGGAACGGUCUGGAAAGUCCGACGGUACAGGGUGAUAGUCCCGUACACCAAAAUGCACAGGCUGUGAACUCGAAGAGUAGGGCGGGACACGUGGUAUCCUGUCUGAAUAUGGGGGGACCAUCCUCCAAGGCUAAAUACUCCUGACUGACCGAUAGUGAACCAGUACCGUGAGGGAAAGGCGAAAAGAACCCCGGCGAGGGGAGUGAAAAAGAACCUGAAACCGUGUACGUACAAGCAGUGGGAGCACCUUCGGGUGUGACUGCGUACCUUUUGUAUAAUGGGUCAACGACUUAUUUUCAGUAGCAAGGUUAAGCGAUUAGUGGAGCCGUAGGGAAACCGAGUCUUAAUAGGGCGUUUAGUUGCUGGGAAUAGACCCGAAACCGGGCGAUCUAUCCAUGAGCAGGUUGAAGGUUGGGUAACACUAACUGGAGGACCGAACCGACUAAUGUUGAAAAAUUAGCGGAUGACUUGUGGCUGGGGGUGAAAGGCCAAUCAAACCGGGAGAUAGCUGGUUCUCCCCGAAAGCUAUUUAGGUAGCGCCUCGUGAACUCAUCUUCGGGGGUAGAGCACUGUUUCGGCUAGGGGGUCAUCCCGACUUACCAACCCGAUGCAAACUACGAAUACCGAAGAAUGUUAUCACGGGAGACACACGGCGGGUGCUAACGUCCGUCGUGAAGAGGGAAACAACCCAGACCGCCAGCUAAGGUCCCAAAGUCAUGGUUAAGUGGGAAACGAUGUGGGAAGGCACAGACAGCCAGGAUGUUGGCUUAGAAGCAGCCAUCAUUUAAAGAAAGCGUAAUAGCUCACUGGUCGAGUCGGCCUGCGCGGAAGAUGUAACGGGGCUAAACCAUGCACCGAAGCUGCGGCAGCGACACUAUGUGUUGUUGGGUAGGGGAGCGUUCUGUAAGCCUGCGAAGGUGUGCUGUGAGGCAUGCUGGAGGUAUCAGAAGUGCGAAUGCUGACAUAAGUAACGAUAAAGCGGGUGAAAAGCCCGCUCGCCGGAAGACCAAGGGUUCCUGUCCAACGUUAAUCGGGGCAGGGUGAGUCGACCCCUAAGGCGAGGCCGAAAGGCGUAGUCGAUGGGAAACAGGUUAAUAUUCCUGUACUUGGUGUUACUGCGAAGGGGGGACGGAGAAGGCUAUGUUAGCCGGGCGACGGUUGUCCCGGUUUAAGCAUGUAGGCUGAUUGUCCAGGCAAAUCCGGAUAAUCAAGGCUGAGGUGUGAUGACGAGGCACUACGGUGCUGAAGUAACAAAUGCCCUGCUUCCAGGAAAAGCCUCUAAGCAUCAGGUAACAUCAAAUCGUACCCCAAACCGACACAGGUGGUCAGGUAGAGAAUACCAAGGCGCUUGAGAGAACUCGGGUGAAGGAACUAGGCAAAAUGGUGCCGUAACUUCGGGAGAAGGCACGCUGGUGUGUAGGUGAAGUCCCUGCGGAUGGAGCUGAGACCAGUCGAAGAUACCAGCUGGCUGCAACUGUUUAUUAAAAACACAGCACUGUGCAAACACGAAAGUGGACGUAUACGGUGUGACGCCUGCCCGGUGCCGGAAGGUUAAUUGAUGGGGUUAUCCGUAAGGAGAAGCUCUUGAUCGAAGCCCCGGUAAACGGCGGCCGUAACUAUAACGGUCCUAAGGUAGCGAAAUUCCUUGUCGGGUAAGUUCCGACCUGCACGAAUGGCGUAAUGAUGGCCAGGCUGUCUCCACCCGAGACUCAGUGAAAUUGAACUCGCUGUGAAGAUGCAGUGUACCCGCGGCAAGACGGAAAGACCCCGUGAACCUUUACUAUAGCUUGACACUGAACAUUGAGCCUUGAUGUGUAGGAUAGGUGGGAGGCUUUGAAGCGUGGACGCCAGUCUGCGUGGAGCCAACCUUGAAAUACCACCCUUUAAUGUUUGAUGUUCUAACGUUGGCCCCUUACCGGGGUUGCGGACAGUGUCUGGUGGGUAGUUUGACUGGGGCGGUCUCCUCCCAAAGCGUAACGGAGGAGCACGAAGGUUAGCUAAUCCUGGUCGGACAUCAGGAGGUUAGUGCAAUGGCAUAAGCUAGCUUGACUGCGAGCGUGACGGCGCGAGCAGGUGCGAAAGCAGGUCAUAGUGAUCCGGUGGUUCUGAAUGGAAGGGCCAUCGCUCAACGGAUAAAAGGUACUCCGGGGAUAACAGGCUGAUACCGCCCAAGAGUUCAUAUCGACGGCGGUGUUUGGCACCUCGAUGUCGGCUCAUCACAUCCUGGGGCUGAAGUAGGUCCCAAGGGUAUGGCUGUUCGCCAUUUAAAGUGGUACGCGAGCUGGGUUUAGAACGUCGUGAGACAGUUCGGUCCCUAUCUGCCGUGGGCGCUGGAGAAUUGAGGGGGGCUGCUCCUAGUACGAGAGGACCGGAGUGGACGCAUCACUGGUGUUCGGGUUGUCAUGCCAAUGGCACUGCCCGGUAGCUAAAUGCGGAAGAGAUAAGUGCUGAAAGCAUCUAAGCACGAAACUUGCCCCGAGAUGAGUUCUCCCUGAGACUAUAAGUCUCCUGAAGGAACGUUAAAGACGAUGACGUUGAUAGGCCGGGUGUGUAAGCGCAGCGAUGCGUUGAGCUAACCGGUACUAAUGAACCGUGAGGCUUAACCUUACAACGCCGAAG